rnacentral:rRNA from 1 species
AACAAACGCUGGCGGCGUGCCUAACACAUGCAAGUCGAACGAGAAAGUCGGUUUCGGCCGAUGAGUAAAGUGGCGCACGGGUGAGUAACGCGUGGAUAAUCUACCCUUUAGUCCGGAAUAACUUGCCGAAAGGUGAACUAAUACCGGAUGACAUCCCGGGUUCUCCGGAAACCGGGAUCAAAGAAGGCCUCUGCUUGCAAGCUUUUGCUGAAGGAUGAGUCCGCGUACCAUUAGCUAGUUGGUGGGGUAAUGGCCUACCAAGGUUAUGAUGGUUAGCUGGUCUGAGAGGAUGAUCAGCCACACUGGAACUGAAACACGGUCCAGACUCCUACGGGAGGCAGCAGUGAGGAAUAUUGCGCAAUGGGGGCAACCCUGACGCAGCAACGCCGCGUGAGUGAGGAAGGUUUUCGGACCGUAAAGCUCUGUCGAGCGGGAAGAAUGUAUCAUGGCUAAUAUCCAUGAUACUUGACGGUACCGCUAAAGGAAGCACCGGCUAACUCCGUG